rnacentral:rRNA from 1 species
CCUACGGGAGGCAGCAGUGUGGAAUAUUGGUCAAUGGGCGAGAGCCUGAACCAGCCAAGUCGCGUGAAGGAUGACGGCUCUACGGGUUGUAAACUUCUUUUGUCAGGGAGCAAUUGGGUCCACGCGUUGGCUUAGCGAGAGUACCUGAAGAAAAAGCAUCGGCUAACUUCGUACCAGCAGCCGCGGUAAUACGGAGGAUGCGAGCGUUAUCCGGAUUUAUGGGGUUUAAAGGGAGCGUAGGCCGGCUUUUAAGUCAGCUGUGAAAGUCCGCGGCUCAACCGUGGAAUUGCAGUUGAAACUGGAGGCCUUGAGUGCACACAGGGAUGCCGAAAUUCAUGGUGUAGCGGUGAAAUGCUUAGAUAUCAUGAAGAACUCCGAUCGCGAAGGCAAGUGUCCGGGGUGCAACUGACGCUGAGGCUCGAAAGUGCGGGUAUCAAACAGGAUUAGAUACCCCAGUAGUC